rnacentral:rRNA from 1 species
GGAUUGGGAGGGUUCUACGGAACCCGUUUGGUGAAUCUAGUGCCGAGAAAAGCCUUCUAUGUGUUGAAUUUCUAGUACCCGUACCCCAAACCGACACAGGUGGGUGGGUAGAGCAUACCUAGGGGCGCGCGAUAACUCUCUCUAAGGAACUCGGCAAAAUGGCCCUGUAACUUCGGGAUAAGGGGUGCCUGCGUGAGCAGGCCGCAGUGAAAUGGCUCUGGCGACUGUUUACCAAAAACACAGGUCUCUGCUAAGUCGUAAGACGAUGUAUAGGGGCUGACUCCUGCCCAGUGCCGGAAGGUUAAGGAAGUUGGUUAGCGCAAGCGAAGCUGGCGACCGAAGCCCCGGUGAACGGCGGCCGUAACUAUAACGGUCCUAAGGUAGCGAAAUUCCUUGUCGGGUAAGUUCCGACCCGCACGAAAGGAGUAACGAUCAGAGCGCUGUCUCGGAGAGAGACACGGCGAAAUAGGAUUGUCCGUGAAGAUACGGACUACCUGCACCCGGACAGAAAGACCCUAUGAAGGUUUACUGUAACUUGGAAUUGUGUUCGGACUUUGUCUGCGCAGAAUAGGUGGGAGGCUAUGAAACGUUCCUCGCGGGGAACUGGAGCCAUCGUUGAGAUACCACUCUGGCAGAGUCUGGAUUCUAACCUACGGGGACAGUUCCAGGUGGGCAGUUUGACUGGGGCGGUCGCCUCCUAAAAUGUAACGGAGGCGCGCAAAGGUUCCCUCAGGCUGGUUGGAAAUCAGCCAUAGAGUGUAAAAGCAUAAGGGAGCUUGACUGUGAGACCUACAAGUCGAGCAGGGACGAAAGUCGGCUUUAGUGAUCCGACGGCACUGAGUGGAAGGGCCGUCGCUCAACGGAUAAAAGUUACUCUAAGGAUAACAGGCUGAUCUCCCCCAAGAGUUCACAUCGACGGGGAGGUUUGGCACCUCGAUGUCGGCUCGUCGCAACCUGGGGCGGUAGUACGUCCCAAGGGUUGGGCUGUUCGCCCAUUAAAGCGGCACGUGAGCUGGGUUCAGAACGUCGUGAGACAGUUCGGUCCAUAUCCGGUGUAGGCGUAGGAGCAUUGAAAGGAUCUCUCCUUAGUACGAGAGGACCGGGAGGGACGUACCUCUGGUGUACCUGUUAUCGUGCCAACGGUAAACGCAGGGUAGCCAUGUACGGAGUGGAUAACCGCUGAAAGCAUCUAAGUGGGAAGCCCACCUUAAGAUGAGUGCUCCCUUGAGGCCACGGGAAGACGACCCGUUUGAUAGGCGCUAGGUGGAAGUGCAGUAAUGCAUGCAGCCGAGGCGUACUAAUAGGCCGAUGGCUUGUCC